CUAUACAUGCAAGUCGAGCGAACAGACGAGGAGCUUGCUCCUUUGACGUUAGCGGCGGACGGGUGAGUAACACGUAGGUAACCUACCUAUAAGACUGGGAUAACUUCGGGAAACCGGAGCUAAUACCGGAUAAUAUUUCGAACCGCAUGGUUCGAUAGUGAAAGAUGGCUUUGCUAUCACUUAUAGAUGGACCUGCGCCGUAUUAGCUAGUUGGUAAGGUAACGGCUUACCAAGGCAACGAUACGUAGCCGACCUGAGAGGGUGAUCGGCCACACUGGAACUGAGACACGGUCCAGACUCCUACGGGAGGCAGCAGUAGGGAAUCUUCCGCAAUUGGGCGAAAGCCUGACGGAGCAACGCCGCGUGAGUGAUGAAGGUCUUCGGAUCGUAAAACUCUGUUAUUAGGGAAGAACAAACGUGUAAGUAACUGUGCACGUCUUGACGGUACCUAAUCAGAAAGCCACGGCUAACUACGUGCCAGCAGCCGCGGUAAUACGUAGGUGGCAAGCGUUAUCCGGAAUUAUUGGGCGUAAAGCGCGCGUAGGCGGUUUUUUAAGUCUGAUGUGAAAGCCCACGGCUCAACCGUGGAGGGUCAUUGGAAACUGGAAAACUUGAGUGCAGAAGAGGAGAGUGGAUUCCAUGUGUAGCGGUGAAAUGCGCAGAGAUAUGGAGGAACACCAGUGGCGAAGGCGACUUUCUGGUCUGUAACUGACGCUGAUGUGCGAAAGCGUGGGGAUCAAACAGGAUUAGAUACCCUGGUAGUCCACGCCGUAAACGAUGAGUGCUAAGUGUUAGGGGGUUUCCGCCCCUUAGUGCUGCAGCUAACGCAUUAAGCACUCCGCCUGGGGAGUACGACCGCA
rnacentral:rRNA from 1 species